GCGCUGGAGAAUUGAGGGGGGCUGCUCCUAGUACGAGAGGACCGGAGUGGACGCAUCACUGGUGUUCGGGUUGUCAUGCCAAUGGCACUGCCCGGUAGCUAAAUGCGGAAGAGAUAAGUGCUGAAAGCAUCUAAGCACGAAACUUGCCCCGAGAUGAGUUCUCCCUGAGACUAUAAGUCUCCUGAAGGAACGUUGAAGACGACGACGUUGAUAGGCCGGGUGUGUAAGCGCAGCGAUGCGUUGAGCUAACCGGUACUAAUGAACCGUGAGGCUUAACCUUACAACGCCGAAG
rnacentral:rRNA from 1 species